ACUACGAGCCAAGCUUAAAACCCAAAGGACUUGACGGUACCCCACAUCCCCCUAGAGGAGCCUGUCCUAUAAUCGAUAAUCCACGUUUAACCUCACCACUUCUAGUUAGUCAGCCUGUAUACCUCCGUCGUCAGCUUACCACGUGAGCGUUAAUUAGUGAGCCCAAUGUAUUUCGCCAAGACGUCAGGUCAAGGUGCAGUAAAUGAAAUGGAAAGAGAUGGGCUACACUUUCUACUUUAGAAAAAACGAAAAACUACCUAUGAAAUCUAGUUAGAAGGCGGAUUUAGUAGUAAAAAGGAAUCAGCAUGUCCAUUUUAACCCGGCA
rnacentral:rRNA from 1 species